GAACUAGCCCAGCAGAGGAAUCAGGUGGGAUGUGUUGCUACUGAGUAAGUGAAAUUUGCACCUGCUUUCUCCCAGGCCUCGUUGAGUUGUGUACAACAGAGAGCUCAGGUGUUGGUUGCAGUUGACCGGUUGAAGAAUGCAUUGCUAUUAUGUGAGGAACAUUGGGCUUUGAAAAAGCAGAACUGGAUCCACGUUCUUGCCUGCUCGCUCUGGUGGCGCUAUGCUCAGCCCAGCUGCGGGCUGUCCAGUGGCUGUGCUACUUCUACAGCACCGUCAUGCCCAGCGAGGCCCAGUGUGUCAUCUACCAUGAGCUCCAGCUCUCCCUGGCCCGCAAGGUGGCCGACAAGGUGCUGGAGGGGCAGCUCCUGGAGACCAUCAGUAGGUCUUCCUGUCCCUGGGCACCGAGCGGUGGCACAGAAUGUGGUCCUGUACACAGGCGACCCCAACCUGGGGCUGGAGCUGUUUGAGGCAGCUGGAGACAUCUUCUUCAAUGGGGCCUGGGAGCGGGAGAAAGCCGUGUCCUUCUACCAGGACCUGGUCCUGGCCCUGACCCUGGCAGUGAGUACGGGCAACCACAAGGCGGAGCUGCAGCUACAGCUGCGCAACAAGCUGGUGGCGCUCCUGGCCACACUGGAAAAGUCCCAGAAGGACUUGGAGUUUGCCUACGUGGCCCUAGCACUCAGCAUCACUCUGGGGGACCAGCUGAACGAGCACGUGGCCUACCACCGGCUGGCUGCCCUGCACCAUCAGCUGGGCCAUGGCAAGCUGGCCGAGCACUUCUACCUCAAGGCCCUGUAG
rnacentral:lncRNA from 10 species